AAACUACUCCCUCCGUUCGGAAUUACUUAUCGCAAAAAUGGAUAUAUCUAGAUGUAUUUUAGUUCUGGAUACAUUUGUUUCCAAGACGAAUAAUUCCGAACGGAGGGAGUAUAAU
rnacentral:pre_miRNA from 1 species